GUUGCCUUUUAAAUGUUUAUGUUAUAUAUUCAUUUUCUUAAGUAAAUCCCUUUAAUGCUUCCUGUAAUAAUGGUGUGGUGGUGAUGAACUCUUUCAGCUUUACUUUAUCUGGGGAGAACUUUAUCAGCCUUUCCAUUCUAAAUGAUAGCUUUGCUGGGUAGAUAAUACCGGUCAGAG